rnacentral:lncRNA from 1 species
GGAAUGCUGGUCUCCUCAUGGUGGACAGUGGUCUCCUCAUAGGGGAUGGUGGUCUCCUCAUGGUGGACAGUGGUCUCCUCAUAGGGGAUGGUGGUCUCCUCAUGGUGAACAGUGGUCUCCUCAUAGGGGAUGCUGGUCUCCUCAUGGUGGAGAGUGGUCUCCUCAUAGGGGAUGCUGGUCUCCUCAUGGUGGACAGUGGUCUCCUCAUGGGGAAUGCUGGUCUCCUCAUGGGGGACACUGGUCUCCUCAUGGUGGACAGUGGUCUCCUCAUAGGGGAUGCUGGUCUCCUCAUUGUGUAUGGUGAUCUCAUGGUGGACAGUGGUCUCAUGGUGGAUGGUGGUCUCCUCAUGAGGGAUGCUGGUCUCUUCAUUGUGUAUGCUGGUCUCAUGGGGGACAGUGGUCUCCUCAUGGUGAAUGCUAGUAUCUUCAUAGGGGAUGCUAGUCUCCUCAUGGGGGACAGUGGUCUCAUGGGGGAUGCUGGUCUCCUCACGGUGGACAGUGGUCUCAUGGUGGACAGUGGUCUCAUGGGAAACAGUGGUCUCCUCAUGGAGGAUGCUGGUCUCCUCAUGGUGGACAGUGGUCUCAUGGUGGAUGGUGGUCUCGUGAUGGACGGUGAUCUCCUCAUGGGGGAUGCUGGUCUCCUCAUGAUGGACGCUGGUCUCCUUAUGGGGGACAGUGGUCUCCUCAUGGGGGAUGCUGGUCUCCCCAUGGUGGAUGCUGGUCUCCUCAUGGGGGACAGUGGUCUCCUCUUGGUGGAUGGUGAUAUCCUCAUGGGGGAUGGUGAUCUCCUCAUGGGGGAUGGUGGUCUCUUCACGGUGGAUAGUGAUCUCAUGGGAGACAGUAGUCUCCCCAUGGUAGACGCUGGUCUCCUCAUAGGGGAUGUUGGUCUCCUCAGGGGUGACAGUUGUCUCCUCAUGGGGGACACUGCUCUCCUCAUGGGGAAUGCUGGUCUCCUCAUGGGGGAUGUUGCUCUCCUCAUGGUGGAUGCUGGUCUCCUCAUGGGGUAUGCUGGUCUCCUCAUGGUGGAUGCUGGUCUCCUCAUGGGGGAUAAUUAUCUCCUCAUGGUGGACGCUGGUCUCCUCAUGGGGGGUGCUGGUCUCCUCAUGGUGGACACUGGUCUCCUCAUGGGGGAAGCUGGUCUCCUCAUGAGGGACAAUUAUCUCCUCAUGGUGGACGCUGGUUUCCUCAUGGGGGAUGCUGGUCUCCUCAUGGUGGACGCUGGUCUUCUCAUGGGGGAUGCUGGUCUCCUCAUGGUGGAUGCUGGUCUCCUCAUGGGGGAAGCUGCCCUUCUCAUGGUGGACGCUGGCCUCCUCAUGAGGGACAAUUAUCUCAUGGUGGACGCUGGUCUCCUCAUGGGGGAAGCUGCCCUUCUCAUGGUGGAUAGUGGCCUCCUCAUGGUGGACAGUGGCCUCCUCAUGGGGGAUACUGGUCUCCUCAUGGGGGAUGCUGGUCUCCUCAUGGUGGACGCUGGUCUUCUCAUGGGGGAUGCUGGUCUCCUCAUGGUGGACGCUGGUCUUCUCAUGGGGGAUGCUGGUCUCCUCAUGGGGGAAGCUGCCCUUCUCAUGGUGGAUGCUGCUCUCCUCAUGGGGAAAAAUUAUCUCCUCAUGGUGGACGCUGGUCCCCUUAUAGGGGAUGCUGGUCUCCUCAUGGUGGGUGGUGGUCUCCUCAUGGUGAACAGUGGCCUCCUCAUGGUGGACAGUGGCCUCCUCAUGGGGGAUACUGGUCUCCUCAUGGGGGAUGCUGGUCUCAUGGUGGACACUGGUCUCCUCAUGGGGGAUGUUGCUCUCCUCAUGGUGGACACUGGUCUCCUCAUGAGGGACAAUUAUCUCCUCAUGGUGGACACUGGUCUCCUCAUGAGGGACAAUUAUCUCCUCAUGGUGGACACUGGUCUCCUCAUGGGGGAUGCUGGUCUCCUCAUGGGGGACACUGGUCUCAUGGUGGACAGCAGCCUCCUCAUGGGGGAUGCUGGUCUCCUCAUGGGGGAUGCUGGUCUCAUGGUGGACACUUGUCUCCUCAUGGGGAAAAAUUAUCUCCUCAUGGUGGAUGCUGGUCCCCUCAUGGUAGACUGUGGUCCUAUCAUGGGGGACAAUUAUCUCAUGGUGGAUGCUGGUCCCCUCAUGGUAGACUGUGGUCCUAUCAUGGGGGACAAUUAUCUCAUGGUGGAUGCUGGUCCCCUCAUGGGGGAUGUUGCUCUCCUCAUGGUGGAUGCUGGUCUCCCCAUGGUGGACAGUGGUCUCCUCAUGGGGAAUGCUGGUCUCCUCAUGGUGGAUGCUGGUCUCCUCAUGGGGGACAAUUAUCUCCCCAUGGUGGACGCUGGUCCCUUCAUGGUAGACUGUGGUCCCAUCAUGGGAGACAAUUAUCUCCUUAUGGUGAAUGCUGGUCUCCUCAUGGGGGACAAUUAUCUCCUCAUGGUGGACGCUGGUCCUCUCAUGGGGGACAAUUAUCCUCUCAUGGUGGUAGCUGGUCCCCUCAUGGGGGACAUUUAUCUCCUGGUGGUGGAAGCCGGUCACGUCAGUGUGAGUGACAGCCAUUUCUAUGGCAACAGUGCUUGCUUCUGUAGGCACGACAUGGUGGUCUGUGGGGAGACAGAGACAGGAGUUUCAGAAGGGCCAGCAGGACCCGAAGAGGUCUCCGUCUGCAGCGGUGUCUCAGUAGGAGUGGGUGGGCUCCGGGGGGACCCUGGCCAUCUCGGGUUCUGCUUCCGGUGCCAACCUUCACCUACUCAAGCGGCAGAGCUCCCAGCACUCAUCUGUCCCGGCACCAGGCACAGGAAUAACACGUGACGGGGGCGGGGCGCCUCGGCGUGGAGGCGCUCGCCCGAGUCCUCUGGUGGGCAGCGGGCAGCCGUGAGGCCAGUGGGCGACGGGCACCUACCCCGGCACGGUCCGUGAGUGAUGAGGAUGAAGUUCACGGCGACCACGAAAGCGGUGCUGGUGCCCCGGAUGGCCUCGAAGAUGAGCUGAGGGCGGAGAGGAGAGGAGAGCAGAGGCCGCGCUGGCGCCUCGGGAACGGAAGCCACCCUCGCCGCGCUCCGCCCACGCCCCAGAGCCCGUCGAGGCCCGGGCGCCGCCGCGCGGCCCUCACCUGCAUGGGCUGCGGGUGCCCCCUGUGGACGGUGACGGAGCUGUCCACCCAGCCGGCGCUCUGCGAGCCCUCGCGCCUCCACAGCGGCACGGGCGCGCUGCCCGCCGGGCUGCCCAGCAGCAGCUCGAGCGCCGUGCCCUGGCCCAGCCCGUACAUGUGGUAGGAGAACUGCACGCAGACGUCGCCGGGCGCGCAGAAGGGCGGGCUCACCAGCUUGGCCGACUGCCCCGGCCGCGACAGCUUCACCAAGUCGAAGUAAAUGUAGUGGU